GCAUACGCUGUCAUCACCUCAGAGAUAACAUAGUGAUGCAGUGUUUUAAAUUGAUGUGGUUUACUGAAUCACCUGAAUAAUUGAUUUUAACUGUGUUUUUAUAGGAUCUGAGAUUUCAGAUUGAACCGUAUGAGAGGGAAGAGGACAGACCCAAGAGUAUUCUCAGUGUGCCCAUCCUGAACCACAAAAAGGAGGACUGGUCCAUUGUAUUUUGGCAGGUUAUAGGUGAUGUCAUGGCUGUGAACAAAAGCAGGCCAAGCACAUGUGCAGGGAGCUUUUUCUCAGAACAAGAUGAGAAAAUGCUGUCGUCACACAUGGUGUUGUUCGGACUGAUGCUGGAAAACUGUCAGCUGUGUGAGAGUUCUGAACAAGAGAGCAAACGCAACCAGGUGUCACACAGACUUUACUUUUACUUAGUUAGGCACUUUUAUCUA